GAAUAGGAUCGGUAGUACUGUUCUAUUUUCUCUCUUUCGCCCAUUCCAAUUUCAGGUGAACCACGCACAGCCCGCGAAAGCUGGCUGUGUGCACGCGCUAAAUAGGAAGGA
rnacentral:SRP_RNA from 1 species